rfam:Zea mays cultivar B73 chromosome 6, whole genome shotgun sequence.
GUGCUUGCAGGUGCAGCACCAUCAAGAUUCACAUCCCCAGCUCGAUCUGUGCAUGAUGAGAUGAGAAUCUUGAUGAUGCUGCAUCAGCAAACAC